UCUUUUUAAUACUGCUACAGUAUAAAUCUUUUUUCUCCCCCUCCCCCACCAUGCCUUUUAGAAAAUGUUUUCAACAGAUUUUCUUAGCUCUGAAU
rnacentral:sRNA from 1 species